rnacentral:rRNA from 1 species
UACAGAGGUCUCAAGCGUUGUUCGGAUUCAUUGGGCGUAAAGGGUGCGUAGGCGGCGCGGUAAGUCGGGUGUGAAAUCUUGGAGCUUAACUCCGAAACUGCAUUCGAUACUGCCGUGCUUGAGGACUGGAGAGGAGACUGGGAUUUACGGUGUAGCGGUGAAAUGCGUAGAUAUCGUAAGGAAGACCAGUGGCGAAGGCGGGUCUCUGGACAGUUCCUGACGCUGAGGCACGAAGGCCAGGGGAGCAAACGGG